GACGAACGCUGGCGGCGUGCUUAACACAUGCAAGUCGAACGGAAAGGCCCUGCUUUUGUGGGGUGCUCGAGUGGCGAACGGGUGAGUAACACGUGAGUAACCUGCCCUUGACUUUGGGAUAACUUCAGGAAACUGGGGCUAAUACCGGAUAGGAGCUCCUGCUGCAUGGUGGGGGUUGGAAAGUUUCGGCGGUUGGGGAUGGACUCGCGGCUUAUCAGCUUGUUGGUGGGGUAGUGGCUUACCAAGGCUUUGACGGGUAGCCGGCCUGAGAGGGUGACCGGCCACAUUGGGACUGAGAUACGGCCCAGACUCCUACUGGAGGCAGCAGUGGGGAAUAUUGCACAAUGGGCGGAAGCCUGAUGCAGCAACGCCGCGUGCGGGAUGACGGCCUUCGGGUUGUAAACCGCUUUCGCCUGUGACGAAGCGUGAGUGACGGUAAUGGGUAAAGAAACACCGGCUAACUACGUG
rnacentral:rRNA from 1 species